rnacentral:rRNA from 1 species
UACGAAGGGGGCUAGCGUUGUUCGGAUUUAUUGGGCGUAAAGAGCUCGUAGGCGGUUUGUCACGUCUGCUGUGAAAUCCCGAGGCUCAACCUCGGGCCUGCAGUGGGUACGGGCAGACUGGAGUGCGGUAGGGGAGAAUGGAAUUCCUGGUGUAGCGGUGGAAUGCGCAGAUAUCAGGAGGAAUACCGGUGGCGAAGGCGGCAUCCUGGACCGACAUUGACGCUGAACGGCGAAAGCUAGGGGAGCAAACGGG